rnacentral:rRNA from 1 species
AGACCCGAAACCCGGUGAUCUAGCCAUGGGCAGGUUGAAGGUUGGGUAACACUAACUGGAGGACCGAACCGACUAAUGUUGAAAAAUUAGCGGAUGACCUGUGGCUGGGGGUGAAAGGCCAAUCAAACCGGGAGAUAGCUGGUUCUCCCCGAAAGCUAUUUAGGUAGCGCCUCGUGAAUUCAUCUCCGGGGGUAGAGCACUGUUUCGGCUAGGGGGCCAUCCCGGCUUACCAACCCGAUGCAAACUGCGAAUACCGGAGAAUGUUAUCACGGGAGACACACGGCGGGUGCUAACGUCCGUCGUGAAGAGGGAAACAACCCAGACCGCCAGCUAAGGUCCCAAAGUCAUGGUUAAGUGGGAAACGAUGUGGGAAGGCCCAGACAGCCAGGAUGUUGGCUUAGAAGCAGCCAUCAUUUAAAGAAAGCGUAAUAGCUCACUGGUCGAGUCGGCCUGCGCGGAAGAUGUAACGGGGCUAAACCAUGCACCGAAGCUGCGGCAGCGACGCUGAUGCGUUGUUGGGUAGGGGAGCGUUCUGUAAGCCUGUGAAGGUGGCCUGUGAGGGUUGCUGGAGGUAUCAGAAGUGCGAAUGCUGACAUAAGUAACGAUAAAGCGGGUGAAAAGCCCGCUCGCCGGAAGACCAAGGGUUCCUGUCCAACGUUAAUCGGGGCAGGGUG